rnacentral:rRNA from 1 species
UACGGAGGGUGCAAGCGUUAAUCGGAAUUACUGGGCGUAAAGCGCGCGUAGGCGGCUGUCUAAGCUAGAUGUGAAAUCCCUGGGCUUAACCUGGGAACUGCAUUUAGAACUGGGCAGCUAGAGUACAGCAGAGGAUAGUGGAAUUUCAGGUGUAGCGGUGAAAUGCAUAGAUAUCUGAAGGAACACCAGUGGCGAAGGCGACUCCCUGGUCUAAAACUGACGCUGAGGUGCGAAAGCGUGGGUAGCAAACGGG